AUGAACGCUGGCGGCGUGCCUAAUACAUGCAAGUCGAGCGAACGGACGAGAAGCUUGCCUCUGAUGUUAGCGGCGGACGGGUGAGUAACACGUGGAUAACCUACCUAUAAGACUGGGAUAACUUCGGGAAACCGUAGCUAAUACCGGAUAAUAUUUUGAACCGCAUGGUUCAAAAGUGAAAGACGGUCUUGCUGUCACUUAUAGAUGGAUCCGCGCUGCAUUAGCUAGUUGGUAAGGUAACGGCUUACCAAGGCAACGAUGCAUAGCCGACCUGAGAGGGUGAUCGGCCACACUGGAACUGAGACACGGUCCAGACUCCUACGGGAGGCAGCAGUAGGGAAUCUUCCGCAAUGGGCGAAAGCCUGACGGAGCAACGCCGCGUGAGUGAUGAAGGUCUUCGGAUCGUAAAACUCUGUUAUUAGGGAAGAACAUAUGUGUAAGUAACUGUGCACAUCUUGACGGUACCUAAUCAGAAAGCCACGGCUAACUACGU
rnacentral:rRNA from 1 species